CCAGCAGCUGCGGUAAUUCCAGCUCCAAUAGCGUAUAUUAAAGUUGUUGUGGUUAAAAAGCUCGUAGUUGGAUCUCAACAGCGUGGUGGCGGUCGGCAUGCUUGCCGUUACUGCUGUCUUGCGCUGUGCUUUUUGCUGGAGGGUGGCAGGUGCUCUUAAUCGGGUGUCUGUUGUCGCCAGCAGGUUUACUUUGAAAAAAUUAGAGUGCUCAAAGCAGGCUGUUACGCCUGAAUAUUCGUGCAUGGAAUAAUAGAACAGCAAGUCGAUCCUAUUUUGUUGGUUUUCGGGACUCGACGUAAUGAUUAAUAGGGACAGUCGGGUGUAUUGGUAUUCAACCGACACAGGCGAAAUUCUUUGACCGCUUGAAGACAACGGAUUGCGAAAGCAUUUGCCAAAUAAGUUCUCAUUAAUCAAG
rnacentral:rRNA from 1 species